rnacentral:rRNA from 1 species
UACGGAGGGUGCGAGCGUUGUCCGGAAUCACUGGGCGUAAAGGGCGCGUAGGCGGCCUGGCAAGUCGGUGGUGAAAGCCCGUGGCUCAACUACGGGUCGGCCACCGAUACUGCUAUGGCUCGAGUUUGGUAGAGGCAGAUGGAAUUCCGGGUGUAGCGGUGGAAUGCGUAGAGAUCCGGAAGAACACCGGUGGCGAAGGCGGUCUGCUGGGCAGUAGCUGACGCUGAUGCGCGACAGCGUGGGGAGCAAACAGG